rnacentral:rRNA from 1 species
UACGUAGGCAGCGAGCGUUGUUCGGAGUUACUGGGCGUAAAGGGUGUGUAGGCGGUUGUUUAAGUUUGGUGUGAAAUCUCCCGGCUCAACUGGGAGGGUGCGCCGAAUACUGAAUGACUAGAGUGCGGGAGAGGAGAGUGGAAUUCCUGGUGUAGCGGUGAAAUGCGUAGAUAUCAGGAGGAACACCGGUGGUGUAGACGGCUUACUGGACCAUUACUGACGCUGAGGCACGAAAGCGUGGGUAGCAAACAGG